AUACGUAGGGAGCGAGCGUUGUCCGGAAUUACUGGGCGUAAAGGGCGCGUAGGCGGCGCUUCAAGUCGUCUGUCAAAUGGGAGGGCUUAACCCUUUUUCGCAGACGAAACUGGAGAGCUUGAGAAGCAGAGAGGCAAACAGAAUUCCUGGUGUAGCGGUGAAAUGCGUAGAUAUCAGGAAGAAUACCAGUGGCGAAGGCGGUUUGCUGGCUGCAUACUGACGCUGAAGCGCGAAAGCCAGGGGAGCAAACGGGAUUAGAUACCCCGGUAGUCCUGGCAGUAAACGAUGUAUGCUGGGUGUGAGACUAGCGAUAGUUUCGUGCCGAAGUUAACGCGAUAAGCAUACCGCCUGGGGAGUACGGUCGCAAGAUUGAAACUCAAAUGAAUUGACGGG
rnacentral:rRNA from 1 species